GACGAACGCUGGCGGCGUGCCUAAUACAUGCAAGUAGAACGCACAGUUUAUACCGUAGCUUGCUACACCAUAGACUGUGAGUUGCGAACGGGUGAGUAACGCGUAGGUAACCUGCCUGGUAGCGGGGGAUAACUAUUGGAAACGAUAGCUAAUACCGCAUAAUAUUGAUUAUUGCAUGAUAAUUGAUUGAAAGAUGCUAUUGCAUCACUACCAGAUGGACCUGCGUUGUAUUAGCUAGUAGGUGAGGUAACGGCUCACCUAGGCGACGAUACAUAGCCGACCUGAGAGGGUGAUCGGCCACACUGGGACUGAGACACGGCCCAGACUCCUGCGGGAGGCAGCAGUAGGGAAUCUUCGGCAAUGGACGAAAGUCUGAACGAGCAACGCCGCGUGAGUGAAGAAGGUUGUCGGAUCGUAAAGCUCUGUUGUAAGAGAAGAACGGGUGUGAGAGUGGAAAGUUCACACUGUGACGGUAUCUUAACAGAAAGGGACGGCUAACUACGUG
rnacentral:rRNA from 1 species